UUGGAGAUAUAGGGUAGCAGUCACACUCGCUGGAAAAAAGACAAGGAGUGGGUCCUUCAGGAUUGCUUUACAUGGAAGCAAUGGAAACUCAAAGCAAUAUGGAAUUUUCAAAGGAUCCCUCAAACCACGUACAAAAUAUGUGCGUGACAUUGAUGUGGACAUCAACGUUGGAAAAAUCCAGAAGGUUACGUUCCUCUGGAAAAAACGUUGGCUAAAUAUCUUCCGGUACAAACUGGGGGCUUCGAAUAUCACAGUGCAAAGUGGAGAAAAUGGGACUGAGUAUCAUUUUUGCAGUCGCAAGACUGUGAAACAAAA